UUGGAGGGCAAGUCUGGUGCCAGCAGCCGCGGUAAUUCCAGCUCCAAUAGCGUAUAUUAAAGUUGUUGCAGUUAAAAAGCUCGUAGUUGAAUUUCGGGGUUAGUAGGUUGGUCAUGCCUCUGGUAUGUACUGGUCUCACUGAUUCCUCCUUCCUUAUGAACCGUAAUGCCAUUAAUUUGGUGUUGCGGGGAAUUUGGACUGUUACUUUGAAAAAAUUAGAGUGUUUAAAGCAGGCUAACGCUUGAAUACAUUAGCAUGGAAUAAUGAAAUAGGACGUUCGAUCUUAUUUUGUUGGUUUCUAGGAUUGACGUAAUGAUUAAUAGGGAUAGUUGGGGGCAUUAGUAUUCAAUUGUCAGAGGUGAAAUUCUUGGAUUUAUUGAAGACUAACUACUGCGAAAGCAUUUGCCAAGGAUGUUUUCAUUAAUCAAGAACGAAAGUUAGGGGAUCGAAGACGAUCAGAUACCGUCGUAGUCUUAACCAUAAACUAUGCCGACUAGGGAUCGGAUGAUGUUAAUUUUUUAAUGACUCAUUCGGCACCUUACGGGAAAC
rnacentral:rRNA from 1 species